rnacentral:lncRNA from 1 species
GACGACAGGGCUGUCAAUGUACUUGUCCCGAGACUCUACCGAACCUCCGUUAACUUGGCCCCCCCAUUUAAUUAUUUUAAACUUUCGUUAAUGCAAAUCGUUUGAGAGUCGUUAGAGAGAGUAUGAGAGAAAAGAAAAAUUGUUUGAGAGUAAUUAUUUUUUUGGCAAAAAUGAUUUUAUUUUUUGGCGUGAAGCUGGCCCCCAUUUUUUUUAUCUCCUAGAAUAAUGGACUUGGACGUUUCAUUUUUUUUUUAAUCGCUUGAAAAUCGUUUGAGAGAGAUUGAGAGUGAAAGAAAAUCGUUCGAGAGUUAAUAUUUUAAUUGAUAUUAAAUUAUUUAUAAUUAGUUGAUUUAACCUAGGGUCCCUAGAACGACGCACUUCCGGUGUGCGCAGUGAGUGUGCGCAGUGCAGUGCAAGAAAAAAAUUUCAUGCUGCAGAACGCAGAUAUCGGCAACGAAUAUUUCCAUCUAAAAUGGAUGAAAAUACAGACUACAGACCCGGGAAUAGUCGUUUUUCAUAAACUUUUCAAAUUCAAUUUCAAUAUUUUUACGCAGUUCCUGACUCGAUCUGACUAAGAAUGCAGCAAGUGCAUUUGCGUGUAAGACAUCUGCGUCCCAGCGUGCUCGCCGCAAUUUUAGCUCCCCACGCCAGGGAAGCCGAGUGGUACCGAAUUAAUCAUCAUGCCUUUCGUUGCGAAUAUUCUCCGAGCUACGCUGGCAAUUCAUGAGUUGCCUAAAGACUAUACAGGUCUUUUUUUAGGAUGUAGCAACACCGAUUGCCCUUCCAACAAAGCUCUCUUGAAUGAGUGUUGUGACAAUCCGUGCGUUGUGAAAAUUCAUGCAUUGGACAACUCGAAUUCUCGACUCGAUUUACAAUCAUGUGCUUCUGAUCCACCUGGAUACAUCGGUGAUAUCGAUUCUGGCUGUACACCAGGUGUGAGAAAAAGCUCGUUACUGCUGAGGUUUGCGGACAACACAUUCAACAGUAGUUACCUAACGAUGAUAGAUGUUGACAUCAAAAUAAGGACUAUAGAGGUUAAAGGAGACAGGGUGAAGCUGUAGGUAUGGGACACCACAGGACAGGAGGAACUCAGGACAAUAACGUCAAUGUAAUACAGGGGUACGCAUGGCGUAAUAUCAUUGGUUACGACGUUACCAGAGGUGACUCGUUUGCAGAUGUCAAACGAUGGCUACACAAGAUUGACCACAACUGCAAUACAGUCAAUAGGGUUCUCGUGGAUAACAAAAUCGAUGCUUCUAACCAAAAAGUUGUACUGACCGAGGAUACUGAACGUUUUGCCACUCUUUGAGAGAACUCUUUGAGAUCUCUGCUAAAGGCAACAUCAAUGUUCAAGAGGCGAUCCAGAGUAAUUCGACGACGACGUCACUAUAACAGCGGCAGAGUUAUCGGCGACUCCAACGGCAAUGAGAACCGCGAGUGGUUGGACCGGUGGCUCAACGAGAUUCAAUCCAGAGCAAAAUGCAAAAGCCGCGACGACGGGGAAAAACGGAGCUCGAGGACGAGGGAGUUAUAGAAACAGGAGUCGGAGCGAGAGAAAACAAUACACGGAGACGACCUGAACGACGAGCCAACGAAUCCCAUUGUCGAGCGGAAAGACAGAGAGGAAAAAAAAUGAUAAAAAUGAUGCGAAGCACUAUGACACAUUACGAAAAAUGUAUUCACCUACGAGAAAGUCACCGAAAAUAAUACCGAUGGAUACUCCAGUUGAUGCGCAAGUGAUAGACGCGUCAGUGGGGGCAAUGGAAACUUGAGAUCGACAACUUUUUUCCUUUCGAUUCUAUGAAUAUGGAUUGAUCUGUAUUUUUCAAUAAACUUGUAAUUCAUCGUA